UUUCAAAGGAAGCGAUUAAAAGGGAAUCAGGUGCAAGUCCUGAACAGUCCCGCUGCUGUAAGUUUUACAUAAUGUUGCAGACAAUGAAUUCUCUCUCCAUGCCACUGGAAACGUUUUCCGGGAAGGCAGCCUGCAACAGAAACAAGUCAGAAGACCUGCCAUGCAUUAU
rnacentral:ncRNA from 1 species